UACGUAGGGGGCAAGCGUUGUCCGGAAUCAUUGGGCGUAAAGCGCGUGUAGGCGGCCAGAAAAGUCCGCUGUGAAAACUCGAGGCUCAACUUCGAGCUGUCGGUGGAAACUUUCUGGCUAGAGUCCGGAAGAGGAGAAUGGAAUUCCUGGUGUAGCGGUGAAAUGCGCAGAUAUCAGGAAGAACACCCGUGGCGGAGGCGGUUCUCUGGGACGGUACUGACGCUGAGACGCGAAAGCGUGGGGAGCGAACAGG
rnacentral:rRNA from 1 species